rnacentral:misc_RNA from 1 species
AUUGUUAUGAUAAUAUUGCGCCGCGCCGGAACAUGACAUCUUACAGAAAUUAACAAUGGUUUUACACGUUCCCGACAUCGACAACCCAGGGGAGAGGGAUGCCGUGGAAACCCUCUUGGCCAUGCGGAACUCUUCGCGAAUCAAUCACAGAGACAAUGCAUCAAACUCGUCCGAGGAGGACCGUCUGUACUCCCCCUACCUCCGGGCGUCCCCGGUCCGGGGCCCACGAUUUUACAGGGGCGACGAAGCCUCGUCUUCGUAUCCGGACUAUCCCAAAAUGAGGAGGCCCUCCAAACUCGCCAGGGUGGGUAUACGAGCAGCUAUGUUUAUUAUAUGAAAUAUUAGUUUACCGAAAAUCCGUUUUUGUAUUUAUAAAGGUUGUGUUAUAAUAUGUAAUCUUUUUUAUAUGAAUAUUCUUGAAUCUCCCUAUUGUAAUAGGUCAUGAAAUUUCAGUGAAUCUUUUGUCUGUAUAUUUAUAGCUCUUACUUGACGACCCUGAAGACUUUGACCGGGAGAUGCUGAGACGCAACCAAGUAUCCGUCAUCGUCCCCAACUACCAUCUCGCCAAAACCGGGGCCACGUGUAACCCCUUUAGAUCCCCGGAGAUGUUCAUUGAUUCUUCCAACAUUCCGUACGGCCCACCACCUCCGCGUAAUAGGAAACCGAUUCCAUACAAGCGAAAGUUUUUGGCGUCAUUUGACGAGGAAGAAGAUGAAGAAGAGGAUGAGGAUUAUGAUGAAGAGGACGAAAGCUUUGAACCGUUUCAAAAGAAGAUUAGGGUAGAAAAAGAUUCAGUAAUUCCUAGGGAUGAAAUUGAGGGGACGUUGCCGGUUUCUUUGAAUCAUACCGAAAACCUAGAAAGCCAAGCAAUACCCGUUGAAGAAGAGGAAAGCGAAGUUCGACCACCAAAAAGAACGAAGGACGACGUCACAGCUGAACCUGCACCCAAGAAGACGAAGUCUCUGAGGGAAAUGCUCACAUUGGACGAAACACCUCAGCAGACGACAGAGUCCAAAGAUUCUAAUCCAAACACACCGCACCAAGAGAAUGUGCCUUCUACGUCACUUCCGUCUAGCAGUUCUCCUGUUCUUCCCAUCAUACAAUUCAUAAUUGUGAACCAUUGUUCAAUGCAUCAUCAAUAUUGUGACGGCAAAAGCCAGAUGCUUGAUAAAUAUUGUCCCAUUGCACCCGCACCUAAAAGUAAAAUUGAAAGUUCUGGAGUCGCAAAAGAUCUGAAAGUUGGAAGCAGACGACGAAGUCAUAUAUGUCAUUACAAGGACUGUCAGAAAACUUACUACAAGAGUUCGCACCUGAAGGCGCACCUUCGAACACAUACAGGGGAAAAACCUUACAUCUGUAAGUGGGAAAACUGUGAAAAGAAAUUCGCGCGCUCGGAUGAACUGACACGUCAUAGGUAUACUCACACAAGGGAGAAGAAGUUUGUGUGCAACCACUGUCAGAGGCGCUUCAUGAGGAGCGACCACCUAGCCAAGCACAUGAAAAGACAUAAUUCCACUAUCAACAGAUAGCAUAACUUUGUUAUAUAGUUAUUGUUGUUGUUAUAUUUUGUUAAUUUAUCUAAUUUAUUUUUAAUUUUUACAAAACAAUGCAUUGACUUUUUUUCAGUUCAAACAAUGUUAAACCUGAUGAAUAUGAAUUUUUUUAAAUUAGCAAUUUUACUCCAUUUUUGUGCGCACUUACAAUAUGUUGGAUUAGGGAAGACAUUUAUUUAACCAGACUGAGAAUACAAUUAGUUCUAAGUGAGAAGUAUCGAUCAAGUAGAGACACUCUGGUUUUGUGCCAAAGAAGGAUAACUCUAUCAUGCUUCCGAAUCUUAAAUAAAAACAUCUAAUGUAUUUUGUGUCAUUACGAAGUAUACCGGUAUAUAAUUGUAUUUACAUUACCAAUACCAUUCUUCACAUUUUCACCUGUUUCAUAUUAUCAUAAACAGUACAAUAUC